rnacentral:lncRNA from 1 species
AAAUCUGUUGGCCUGAAGCCAAAAUGUGCCUAGGGUCAAAUUCCAUUUUCAAUCGAUAGAACCGAUCCCACUUAUUUCCAAAGUGGUCCACCCACUCUUGAUGUGUCGUGUAAUGAGGUAAAUACUGCUUCACUGUGAUCCCAGCUUCAUCACAGAAUCUGAGAAUCUGACGGUUCUGAUUGGUUAGGUACUCCAGGCUAUGGGUUUCCUCCCCAUUAUCCAAGGCUGAUCUUAGUAACGCCACCAGGUAAAACACAUCCUCAUCCGGCGUAACCGCGGAGCUCCUAUGGUCCCAUCUGCACCAUAUUACAAUAACAUGCACGCAUG